rnacentral:rRNA from 1 species
GACGAACGCUGGCGGCGUGCUUAACACAUGCAAGUCGAACGGAAAGGCCCUGCUUUUGUGCGGUGCUCGAGUGGCGAACGGGUGAGUAACACGUGAGUAACCUGCCCUUGACUUUGGGAUAACUUCAGGAAACUGGGGCUAAUACCGGAUAGGAGCUCCUGCUGCAUGGUGGGGGUUGGAAAGUUUCGGCGGUUGGGGAUGGACUCGCGGCUUAUCCGCUUGUUGGUGGGGUAGUGGCUUACCAAGGCUUUGACGGGUAGCCGGCCUGAGAGGGUGACCGGCGACAUGGGUACUGAGAGACGGACCAGACUCCUACGGGAGGCAGCAGUGGGGAAUAUUGCACAAUGGGCGGAAGCCUGAUGCAGCAACGCCGCGUGCGGGAUGACGGCCUUCGGGUUGUAAACCGCUUUCGCCGGUGACGAAGCGUGAGUGACGGUAAUGGGUAAAGAAGCACCGGCUAACUACGUG